rnacentral:misc_RNA from 1 species
GAUGAAGAACGCAGCGAAAUGCGAUAAGUAGUGUGAAUUGCAGAAUUCAGUGAAUCAUCGAAUCUUUGAACGCACAUUGCGCCCUUUGGUAUUCCUUAGGGCAUGCCUGUUCGAGCGUCAUUUAAACCUUCAAGCUCAGCUUGGUGUUGGGUGACUGUCCGCUUCACCGCGGACUCGCCUCAAAAUUAUUGGCGGCCGGUACAUUGGCUCUCGAGCGCAGCAGAAACGCGUAACUCGAGGUCCUCGUGCUGGCUCCCAGAAGCUAUCUUCACAAUUUUGACCUCGAAUCAGGUAGGGAUACCCGCUGAACUUAAGCAUAUCAAUAAGCGGAGGA